rnacentral:rRNA from 1 species
GGCGAACGCUGGCGGCGUGCUUAACACAUGCAAGUCGAACGGAAAGGCCCUGCUUUUGUGGGGUGCUCGAGUGGCGAACGGGUGAGUAACACGUGAGUAACCUGCCCUUGACUUUGGGAUAACUUCAGGCAACUGGGGCUAAUACCGGAUAGGAGCUCCUGCUGCAUGGUGGGGGUUGGAAAGUUUCGGCGGUUGGGGAUGGACUCGCGGCUUACCAGCUUGUUGGUGGGGUAGUGGCUUACCAAGGCUUUGACGGGUAGCCGGCCUGAGAGGGUGACCGGCCACAUUGGGACUGAGAUACGGCCCAGACUCCUACGGGAGGCAGCAGGGGGGAAUAUUGCACAAUGGGCGGAAGCCUGAUGCAGCAACGCCGCGUGCGGGAUGACGGCCUUCGGGUUGUAAACCGCUUUCGCCUGUGACGAAGCGUGAGUGACGGUAAUGGGUAAAGAAGCACCGGCUAACUACGUG